ACAGCAGCAGCCGCGGGAAUACGUAGGGUGCGAGCGUUAAUCGGAAUUACUGGGCGUAAAGCGUGCGCAGGCGGUUAUAUAAGACAGUUGUGAAAUCCCCGGGCUCAACCUGGGAACUGCAUCUGUGACUGUAUAGCUAGAGUACGGUAGAGGGGGAUGGAAUUCCGCGUGUAGCAGUGAAAUGCGUAGAUAUGCGGAGGAACACCGAUGGCGAAGGCAAUCCCCUGGACCUGUACUGACGCUCAUGCACGAAAGCGUGGGGAGCAAACAGGAUUAGAUACCCGUGUAGUCCCUGUCUCUUAUAC
rnacentral:rRNA from 1 species